CAACGUCUUGGUCCUAAACUUGCCGUUAUUUUUAGCCGACAUUACACAUGCAAGUCUCCGCAAUCCCGUGCUUACGCCCACCACGGAGCAAGCAUCAGGCACAUCCCACGAUAGCCAAAGACGCUACGCCACCCUGCCACACCCCCACGGGCCCCAGCAGUGAUAAAUAUUAGGCCAUGAGCCCCAAAUAAAGCUCGACCUAGACACGGCUACUUCCUAAGGGUCGGUAAACGCCGUGCCAGCCACCGCGGUUAUACGGCGGACCCAAAAUAACAACACAUCGGCGUAAAUUGUGGCCAAGGAAACCAAUUCAGCCCAACGAAGCUAACACCUAAGUACUGUGGUAAAAUACUAGUACCAAAAACUAUCAACAAGCAUCAACAACUGAAUUAAGCCCGCCCCACGAAAGCUAAGAAUCAAACUAGGAUUAGAUACCCUACUAUGCUUCGCCCUUAACCUAGAUAGUACCAUAACCAACUAUCCGCCAAAGAAUUACAAGCGAAAAGCUUAAAAUUUAAAGGACUUGACGGUGUCCCACAUCAACCUAGAGGAGCCUGUCCUAUAAUCGAUAACCCACGUUUUACCUCACCCGCCAUUGCACAAACAACAGCCUAUAUACCGCCGUCCCCAGCCUGCCUACUGAUAGACCGCCAGCAAGCAAGAUUCAGCCCCUCCGCUAAUACGUCAGGUCAAGGUGUAGCUAAUGGGCGGGCAGAGAUGGGCUACAUUUUCUAACACUAGACCACCACCAACGGCACCAUGAAAAUUAGGCCCUGAAGGAGGAUUUAGCAGUAAGCCCGGGCCAGAAGUGCCCAACUGAAGCUCGCUCUGGGACGCGUACACACCGCCCGUCACCCUCAUCAGCCCCACCCCAACCAAUAAAUAAUGCCCAAUUUAAUAGCGCUAGAUGAGACAAGUCGUAACACGGUAAGCGUACCGGAAGGUGCGCUUGGAAUAUA
rnacentral:ncRNA from 1 species